CCUACGGGUGGCAGCAGUGAGGAAUAUUGGUCAAUGGACGAGAGUCUGAACCAGCCAAGUAGCGUGAAGGAUGACUGCCCUAUGGGUUGUAAACUUCUUUUAUAUGGGAAUAAAAUGUUCCACGUGUGGGAUUUUGUAUGUACCAUAUGAAUAAGGAUCGGCUAACUCCGUGCCAGCAGCCGCGGUAAUACGGAGGAACCGAGCGUUAUACGGAUUUAUUGGGUUUAAAGGGAGCGUAGGUGGAUUGUUAAGUCAGUUGUGAAAGUUUGCGGCUCAACCGUAAAAUUGCAGUUGAAACUGGCAGUCUUGAGUACAGUAGAGGUGGGCGGAAUUCGUGGUGUAGCGGUGAAAUGCUUAGAUAUCACGAAGAACUCCGAUUGCGAAGGCAGUUCACUGGACUGCAACUGACACUGAGGCUCGAAAGUGUGGGUAUCAAACAGGAUUAGAUACCCUGGUAGUC
rnacentral:rRNA from 1 species